rnacentral:rRNA from 1 species
CCUACGGGAGGCAGCAGUGGGGAAUUUUGGACAAUGGGCGCAAGCCUGAUCCAGCAAUGCCGCGUGCAGGAUGAAGGCCUUCGGGUUGUAAACUGCUUUUGUACGGAGCGAAACGGUCUGCUUUAAUACAGUGGGCUAAUGACGGUACCGUAAGAAUAAGCACCGGCUAACUACGUGCCAGCAGCCGCGGUAAUACGUAGGGUGCAAGCGUUAAUCGGAAUUACUGGGCGUAAAGCGUGCGCAGGCGGUUAUAUAAGACAGAUGUGAAAUCCCCGGGCUCAACCUGGGACCUGCAUUUGUGACUGUAUAGCUAGAGUACGGUAGAGGGGGAUGGAAUUCCGCGUGUAGCAGUGAAAUGCGUAGAUAUGCGGAGGAACACCGAUGGCGAAGGCAAUCCCCUGGACCUGUACUGACGCUCAUGCACGAAAGCGUGGGGAGCAAACAGGAUUAGAUACCCUGGUAGUCCACGCCCUAAACGAUGUCAACUGGUUGUUGGGUCUUCACUGACUCAGUAACGAAGCUAACGCGUGAAGUUGACCGCCUGGGGNGUACGGCCGCAAGGUUGAAACGUUAAAGGAAUGACGG